rnacentral:tRNA from 1 species
GAGGCUUUAGCUCAGUGGUAGAGCACAUGCUUAGCAUGCACAAGGCCCUGGGUUCAAUCCCCAGUACCUCCA